ACCGGCUAACUACGUGCCAGCAGCCGCGGUAAUACGUAGGGUGCAAGCGUUAAUCGGAAUUACUGGGCGUAAAGCGUGCGCAGGCGGUUUUGUAAGUCUGACGUGAAAUCCCCGGGCUCAACCUGGGAAUUGCGUUGGAGACUGCAAGGCUAGAAUCUGGCAGAGGGGGGUAGAAUUCCACGUGUAGCAGUGAAAUGCGUAGAGAUGUGGAGGAACACCGAUGGCGAAGGCAGCCCCCUGGGUCAAGA
rnacentral:rRNA from 1 species